rnacentral:lncRNA from 12 species
AAUCAUCACCAGCCAGCAGCUCUGUCACUGGACCGGGGGUGUGAAUACCAGCGUACACCACUGUGACAAUGGCAGCUGCGUGCGUGUCAUCCUCACCGUGAACUGGAGUGACUGUGGGCUGCCGCCUGGCUCCAGGCCCGGGCUCCUCGCUCCCCUCCAUACUCAGGCCUGCACACUCCUGGAGCUUUCUCUCAGUCUGGGAGGCCACUUCUCUGACCCUAAUUCCCAUCUUCACACAAGAAGUUCCAGGCCAUAAGAAAUAAGCUGAAGUCUGAGCUCCUCUGCAACCUCAUCCACAAUACCUCAAUGUAUACUGCCCACAGAUAAGCAAUCCAGCUCUGAGACAUUUUUAAAGGGGCCGAGAUGCCUUCGCUAAAGUGGUCCAGGAAGAUGAACACAGAAAGCCAUCUUCUGCGUUAUUUGAGGAUUCAAUGGGAACAAGGGGUUCUGAGCUGUGUGCUCCUGAGCAGAGCUGUCUGAUGUGCUUUAGGACAGGACCAAGCAUUUGCUUCUUUGCUUCCCAUUCCUGCUGCUAACAACCCGAUGCCCCUGAGUACUCGUGGGCACAGCACUAGAACCCUGAGUACAGCUCUCUCCUCGCUCAGACACGUUUCCCAUGGAUGGCUUCUUACGCACGACUUUUGUGCAGAAAGAGAAUUCUUGCCCAUUUCGUGUCUCAGGAAACUGUGGUGACCAAGAACGCUGCCCUAGGGCAUCCGCAGAGGGAGCCCUCCCCUCCUCGCCUGCCUGCCGGUGAAUGUUACUUUCCACAGGGCUUUACAAUCAGCCAGGUAUUUAAAGAGGCCCAUUAAGCUGUUCCCUGGGCCAGGAGACUAUUUAUAGCACAGAGCAGCCGUCAGGCAUUCGGAUGCACCCAGCAAAGCAAGCCACUGUCUCAGGAAGCGCCUCUGUGGGCCUGGGGUUAUGCUCGCUGGCGGGAAGGGAAAUCCAGAUCACAUCCUCAAAAUGGUACAUCUGUGCUGGCAGAAGAGUAGAGGCUUCCAGUUCAUGGAGGACCUUCCCCGCAGUCCUGAGAAGAGAUUCCACAUUCCCGAGCGCCUGCCUCCAGACUCUGAGCUCAGAGAUGAAAGUGGACAACAUUCACUCAGCAAAGACGUCCUGGGCGCCUCCUACGUGCCAGACACUGUUCUAAGAGGAUGGGGUGUGACCAAAGAGCCCUGCCCUGGACACGCUGACAGUGAGAGGGUGCUGGUCUGUCUUGAUGUGACGAGUAUGCGCCUGCCUUUGGCAAGCUGGCUCAUCUGCUGGCUGUCAAGACUUUACCUUUUCACAGAGCCAAAGCCAGCCUGGAGAGGCUUUCCCUCCAACUACCUUGGUAGGGAGAGUGAACCGUGGCCUGCCAGCCAGGCCUCCAGAACCACAGCCAUCAGCACCACCACACCUCAGGUCCUGAAGUCACCUGUCUAGAAAAAACAAACACAUCUCAGGUGUCAGAGAAGCACUGCUUUCCUCUUUUCCGAAGCCACUGGGGGAUGGCGGGGAAGGGGUAGGACUGGCCUGCGGCUUUCCUUUCCUGAGGGAAAGGUUUGGAGGCUCUGCACUGCUACUACAAGGCCUCUGAGGUUUGGCUUCCUCCCCAGCAAGCUCCCAGCAAGGUGCAACUCACAGGCCUACACCGAGGCCCCAGGUGGGAGGCUCCCUAGGGGACCAGAGCUGGGGACCCUCCCUGAAAACCUGAAAUCAGAUGGGGAGUUACAAUAACUGGCCUCUCCUGCCUGUGUCACGCUUCCUGGGCUGGGGAGCUAAGCUGGGGGGGAGGGCAGCGAG